AAUGAACGCUAGCGGCAGGCUUAAUACAUGCAAGUCGAGGGACAGCACAGGUAGCAAUACUGGGUGGUAACCGGCAAACGGGUGCGGAACACGUACACAACCUUCCUUUAAGUGGGGGAUAGCCCAGAGAAAUUUGGAUUAAUACCCCGUAAUAUAGUUGAAUGGCAUCAUUUGAUUAUUAUAGCUACGGCGCUUAAUGAUGGGUGUGCGGCUGAUUAGAUAGUUGGCGGGGUAACGGCCCACCAAGUCUACGAUCAGUAGCUGAUGUGAGAGCAUGAUCAGCGACACGGGCACUGAGACACGGGCCCGACUCCUACGGGAGGCAGCAGUAAGGAAUAUUGGUCAAUGAACGCAAGUCUGAACCAGCCAUGCCGCGUGAAGGAUUAAGGUCCUCUGGAUUGUAAACUUCUUUUAUUUGGGACGAAAAAGGGCCUUUCUAGGUCAACUGACGGUACCAGAUGAAUAAGCACCGGCUAACUCCGUGCCAGCCGCCGCCGUAACAC
rnacentral:rRNA from 1 species